CACUAUAUUAAUGGAGUCGUCAAGAACUCUAAGAAAUCUAUUGUUGAAUUAUUUGUUUUGUUUUGCUUUUAUAUGCGCUUGUUUCAAGUUAGCUAGGAUGGGAGGGCCAUAUUCAACAAAGCCAAACUUAUUCUUAGAAGGAUUUUCUUUUGUUUUUUGGCGGAAGUUUUUUAAGAGGAGAGACUAGACGGAUUUGUUGAGGCUUGUGUCUUUCGAUGGCGUGAGCUCUUUUCGAGGA
rnacentral:lncRNA from 1 species